rnacentral:pre_miRNA from 1 species
CAGAAAUGAGGGCUCCUUUCAGCCUAAAAACUACAGGUUUUCUCAGACAAGAUCCUGUUUCUUUUGGACUGAAGGGAGCUCCCAGUUCUU